UUUGCAAGUGUGGGAGUCUCGGGGCACUGGCGAGUCUCUCCAGGUCUAUUUUACGUUGGUUAGUUUAGCGAACUGCCUCCAGCCUGGACUGCUUACCCGUGACCUCCCAUUACUCAAACCCAGGCUGACAUAUGUGGGCUUCGUUCCCUCACUUCUCAGUGUCUCCUCCUGAAAUCAAGACGCUUCCUCGGGGCUAGCAAUGUGCUUCUGUCCUGUGAUGCUGAGUAAGGCAGUGAGCCACAGCUCCCAGUCAGCCAUGCAAUCACAAAGG